UGUGUACUCCCUCCGUUCCAAAAUACUUGACUUCCAUUUGUCCAGAAAUGGAUGUACCUAUAUACUAAAACAUGUCUAGAUACAUCUAUAUUUUGACAAAUAGAAGGCAUGUAUUGUGGAACGGAGGGAGUAGAAU
rnacentral:pre_miRNA from 1 species